CAUUAAAAAAUUUCAUCUAUUUGCUAUGAUAAAAACCAAUGUGCCUGACAAAAUAACCAGAUGGUGACACGUGUACCUCAUGCUGAUGUGCAUGAACCAAUUUUUAACAGUAGAAAUAGAUAAAAUUUUUAACA
rfam:Gossypium raimondii Chr03_contig_8, whole genome shotgun sequence.